UCUAUGGGGCAGGAUCUAUGGGGCAGGGGGGGAUCUAUGGGGCAGAAUCUAUGGGGCAGGUCAGAUCUAUGGGGCAGGAUCUAUGGGGCAGGAUCUAUGGGGCAGGGGGGGAUCUAUGGGGCAGGGAAGGGAGAUCUAUGGGGCAGGAUCUAUGGGGCAGGAUCUAUGGGGCAGGGGACACGGCACCGGGCACACGCGGCCGAGCACGGGCAAUAAAUCACCGGCAGCACAACCGCAGCGUCUGGGGUCCCGUUUUGGGGCAAUUUCACCCGAUUUUGGGGGCGGCCUCAGCUGUUUGGGGCCAAUUCCCUCCCUUUUGGGGCAACUUCUCCCAGUUUUGGGGCCAUUUCGCCAGGAUUUUGGGGCCAUUUCUCGCAGAUUUGGGGCAAUUACACCCGAUUUUGGGGCGAUUUCUCCCGGUUUUGGGGCAAUUUCUCCCGGUUUUGGGGUGAUUUCUCCCAGAUUUGGGUCACUUUGUUCCCCUUUUGGGUCACUUUAUCCCCUUUUUGGGGCCAUUUUUCCCAGUUUUGGGGCGAUUUCUCCUGGUUUUGGAGUGAUUUCUCCCAGUUUUGGGGUCCCGUUUUGGGGCAAUUUCACCCGAUUUUGGGGGCGGCCUCAGCCGUUUGGGGCCAAAUCCCUCCCUUUUGGGGCCACUUCUCCCAGUUUUGGGCUGAUUUCUCCCAGUUUUGGGGCCAUUUCUCCCCCUUUUGGGUCACUUUCCCCCCUCCCCAACAUCACCACAUUUUCAGGGUUGAUUUCUCCCAUUUUUGGUCAAUUUCAACCGUUUGGGGCCAUUUCACCUGGUUUUGGGUCUGUUCCCUUCACUUUGGGGCCGAUUUCAGCCAUUUGGGGGCACUUUUCCCUCACUUUUGGGGACAAUUCCCCCCCUUUUGGGGUUCUGGGAGCCAAUUCCCCUUUAUUUCAGCCAAUUCCUCCCCCUUUUGGGUCCAAUUUCCUCUUUUUUGGGGUCUAUUUCACUACUUUCACUUCCCCCUCCCUUUUUGGGUCCCUUUCACUUGAUUUCUGCCAAUUUCUUUUUCUUUUGGGUGAAUUUCACAUUUUUUGGGUCAAAUUUCCCCCAUUUCUGCCAAUUUCUAUCAAUUUUGCUCAUUUUCUUCCAAUUCUCCCCCCCUUUUUGGGUCAAUUUUCCCCAUUUUCAGCCCAUUUCCCCCAUUUUCAGCCAAUUUCCCCCAUUUUCAGCCAAUUUCCUCCAAAUUUUGCCUGUUUCCCCCCUUUUUGGCUCUCCCCUCACCUUUUUGGGGCCGUUUCACCCCAUUUCUUUCAAUUUCUCCCCGCUUUGGGGUCUAUUUUUGUCCCUUUCUUUCGCUUUCACACAAUUUCUUUCAAUUUCACUCCUUUUUUUUUCUCACCUAUUUUGGGGCCAUUUCCUCCCCUUUCUCGCCAUUUCCCCCACCCCCUCAUUUUUUUGCUCAUUUCCCGUAUUUUUGGGGGCUAUUUCUCCCCCUCCCCCCCUUUUGGACCAAUUUCCCCCUUUUUGGGUCAAUUUCCUCCGAUUUCUGCCAAUUCCUCCCCAUCCUCCUCCUUUUUAGGCCAAUUUCGGCCAUUUUCGGUCAAUUUCACUCCCCUUUAGGUCAAUUUCACCCCAUUUUGGGUCCAUCUCCAUUUUGGGUCUAUUUCACUCAAUUUCCGCCAAUUCCACUCAAUUCCUUUCAGUUUCUCCCCUUUUGGGUCAAUUUCUGUCAAUUUCUGCCAAUUUCCUCCAAUUUCUGACCAUUUCUCUCCUUUUUGCCAAUUUCUGUCCAUUUCCUUAAUUUUCACUCAUUUUCUGUCCACUUCUCUCAAUUUUUUGUCCAUUUCAAUCAUUUUCCUUAAAUUUCACUGUUUCUGUCCAUUUUUAUCAAUUUCCUUAACUUUUCACUCAAUUCCUGUCAAUUUCUGACAAUCUCCUUCAUUUUCACUCAAUUUCUGCCAAUUUCUGUCCAUUUCCCUCAUUUCUUUCAUUUUUCACUUCAUUUCUGCCCAUUUUUGUCCAUUUCCCUCAUUUCUUUCAUUUUUCACUUAAUUUCUGCCCAUUUUUGCCCAUUUCCUUCAUUUCUUUCACUUUUUCACUCCAUUUCUGCCCAUUUUUGUCCAUUUCCCUCAUUUCUUUCAUUUUUCACUUAAUUUCUGCCCAUUUUUGCCAAUUUCCCUCAUUUCUUUCACUUUUUCACUUCACUUCUGCCCAUUUUUGUUCUUUUCCCUCAUUUCUUUCAUUUUUCACUCCAUUUCUGCCCAUUUUUGCCCAUUUCCCUCAUUUCUUUCAUUUUUCACUUAAUUUUUGCCCAUUUUUGUCCAUUUCCCUCAUUUCUUUCAUUUUUUCACUCCAUUUCUCUCCACUUUUCUCCAUUUCCUUCAUUUUCUCACUAAUUUCUGCCCAUUUCUGCUCAUUUCUGUCAAUUUCUGUCCAUUUUUAUCAAUUUCUGCCCAUUUUCAUCAAUUUCUACCCAUUUCUGUCCAUUUCUCUCACUCCUCCCCAUUUUUCCCCUUUCUCCCCAUUUCUUUCACUUUCUCCCCAUUUUUAUCA
rnacentral:lncRNA from 1 species